GACGAACGCUGGCGGCGUGCCUAAUACAUGCAAGUCGAACGCUUCUUUCCUCCAGAGUGCUUGCACUCAAUUGGAACGAGGAGUGGCGGACGUGUGAGUAACACGUGGGUAACCUACCCAUCAGAGGGGGCUAACACUUGGAAACUGGUGCUAAUUCCGCAUAACAGUUUAUGCCUCAUGGCAUAAGAGUGAAUGCGCUUUCGGGUUUCGCUGAUGGAUUGUCCCGCGGUUCAUUAGCUAGGUGGUGAGGUAACGGCUCACCAAGGCCACGAAGCAUAGCCGACCUGAGAGGGUGAUCGGCCACACUGAGACUGAGAGACGGACCAGACUAAUACGGGAGGCAGCAGUAGGGAAUGUUCGGCAAUGGACGAAAGUAUGACCGAGCAACGCAACGUGAGUGAAGAAGGUAUUCGGAUCGGAAAACUCUGUUGUUAGAGAAGAACAAGGACGUUAGUACCUGAACGUCGCCUGAAGGUAGCUAAACAGAAAGCAACGGCUAACUACGUG
rnacentral:rRNA from 1 species